GACCCUGAAGGGGGUGGGGGAUGAGCAAGCAGGUUUACAACAAUCCUCCUUGAGUUGGAAGAGAACAGUUCUGAGUAUAAGAUGAGUAUGCUCUUUCGGAAAAGCGACAACUUGUGUUGUGAACACGGUUUUCUCCCUUAGCCUGGCCGGCACCGAAGCUGAGAGAUGGUUCCUAGAACCGGUGGAAAGUUCUCAGGCGAACUGAUCAAAUAAGCCCUAAGGAAUCUAUGUUGAGAUCAACUUUAAACAAAUAUUUUCUUUUUUACUUUUUUUUUCUACUAGUGGUUCUAAAAAUCCCAUCUCAGGUGAAAGGUUUCGACUUUCAGCGGAGUGUAGCCUUUUGAAAAGCAGGGGUUUUGUUUGUUUGUUUUUUAAAGGACGAAAUAAAGGAUUUGCAAGAGCAUGAACUGGCCGGCAGAAGUGUCGAUUCCACUGUGCGGCUUUUAGUUCUUGAACCAAGCUGGGGGCUUGCAACAGCCGCUCCUUUGCCUUGCUUCUUACCACCACCCAGCGUCCUGAGUCUAACCCUGCCUGGAGAUUCAGACGGGACGAAUAGUUAGAGCAACACAUCAGACCCAGAGCCCUGCAGAUCUUUGCACCAGAGCUGAAGUGUAACGCCAGGUACAAGAAUGAACACAGCAGGUGCAGUAUUGGAAAACAGAAGAGUGGAACGGCUGGCGACAGCGGUAAGAAAUCCUAGUGCAGAAAUUAUAGCUGGGUGUAUGAAACACACAGACCUGGACCCUGGACCCAUGAUCAGACGACAGAAGCAGAUCAUUCAUCUGUGCUAGGCACUGUGUUAUGCAAUAUGUAAUGUGCUAUUCCAUAUACUUAACAUGCAUAAAUAUUAGAUGCUGUUUCAUGUAAUAUAUACAGAAUGAUGUCUAUUGACUAUAUAUUUGGCGUAUCUCUAAUCGUGUAUUGAAUACUAGGCACAAUAUUCCAUAUUAUAAUACACAAUAUCAAAUAACACGAAGAAGCUAAUAUUCUAUAAUAAAUUGCUUGUGUAUUUCAUAGA